rnacentral:tRNA from 1 species
CAGGGAGACAACAAAAUGUUUAAUAUUAUUAUUUUGUCACCUUAGGUCGAUCGGUAUCUCACGUUCUUAAUUUAUUAAGAAUUUCAUUUCCUAAGUUUUUCUAGGUCACACCCAUUAUUUUUCCUGGGCCAUUAGCUCAGGUGGUUAGAGCGCACCCCUGAUAAGGGUGAGGUCCCUGGUUCAAGUCCAGGAUGGCCCAUAUCUCUAUGUUGGGGGUAUAGCUCAGUUGGUAGAGCGCCUGCUUUGCAAGCAGGAUGUCAGCGGUUCGAGUCCGCUUACCUCCACUGAUUACCACCUCUACCAUAAUCUGUAGUAAGGAAAUGUUUUGAGUAGUGAUCAAAUUCUGAACGAAUCUAGCUUCCUAAUGAAAUCAUUAAGAUGCUGGACUCAUUGAAUUAAUUUCAUUGUUUUCAGAGAACCUUGACAACUGCAUAGAUUAUUUUUAAAGACAAUAAGCAUCUUUAAUGAUGCAGAUUUAUUAUUUGUGCGAAUGCAUUAAUAACAAUUCUAUUAAGCUGAUGCUUCAAUUUUUGAAGUUAUU